GGCAUGCUUACGGAUGCCAUGCACGUGCAUAUGCCUUCCCUGCACGGCACUGCAGGCCAUGCUC
rnacentral:pre_miRNA from 1 species